AGGCAGCAGUGGGGAAUCUUCCACAAUGGACGCAAGUCUGAUGGAGCAACGCCGCGUGAGUGAAGAAGGAUUUCGGCUCGUAAAGCUCUGUUGUUGGUGAAGAAGGGCAGGGGUAGUAACUGACCUUUGUUUGACGGUAAUCAAUUAGAAAGUCACGGCUAACUACGUGCCAGCAGCCGCGGUAAUACGUAGGUGGCAAGCGUUGUCCGGAUUUAUUGGGCGUAAAGCGAGUGCAGGCGGCUCGAUAAGUCUGAUGUGAAAGCCUUCGGCUCAACCGGAGAAUUGCAUCAGAAACUGUCGAGCUUGAGUACAGAAGAGGAGAGUGGAACUCCGUGUGUAGCGGUGAAAUGCGUAGAUAUAUGGAAGAACACCGGUGGCGAAGGCGGCUCUCUGGUCUGUUACUGACGCUGAGGCUCGAAAGCAUGGGUAGCGAACAGGAUUAGAUACCCUAGUAGUCC
rnacentral:rRNA from 1 species